UUCUCUCAGCCUCUAAACGGUAGCUGGCUUUAGCUGUGAGAUGUGUUGUUGCUUUUGAUUCCACUUUAAACAGUUUCUUAUUUGUAGUUUGCAUUUUUUUCUUUAUUUUUUUUUUCUUCUCUCUCAUGUUAUCUCCAGAGGAAGCCCUGAAUGGGGAUUGUUGGUCUGGUGUGAGUAGCUAACAAAAGCUAUGUUUUGAUCAGCUCAGGGCUUGCAGGAGUUUGUCAUCAUACGAGAAGCAGGGGCACAGAUAGCUGGUAACAAACAAGGGCUCCCUCAUCACCUGCUGACCUGAAGGACUAAGUAAUAGCUUAUAACGGCACUUGAAAACCUGAGUGGCUCCCUGCUCAUCAAAUGCACCUAUGCCUUUUCUGUAGUAUCCUUCCUGUAGAAUUCUUCAUGGCUACUGUUUUCUCCUGGCACCCGAACUGCUUUGGAGGUUUUGCUAGUCUCCACUGACCACCAAUUUCCAAUACUGGAGAUGCUGGACAUCAGAACAGAAGAGGACCUUGUGCUGCAAGGACACAAUGACCACAAGAGAUGGGAUUGGACCUUCAUGUCCCUUUGCAUAGCUUCUCUUAGCGAAAUCCCAAGAAUGCAGGCUAACCAAGGUGGAUCCUGAAGAACCUGCCUUCUUCUAUACAUGAGCGAUCAUCAGUAUCCACGGCCUUCACUGACUUCAGACAAAGUUGUGGGUGUUCAACCCCUUCAAGGUUUAGCCGGCUGUUGCACAAGAAGGUUUAGUUACACAGCAACAACAAAUCACUCCUUUUCUGAUUAUUUCUAUUGUUUCAGUCUAGCUACAUGAGAAGAAGUCUGGACUUGAACAGAUCCCAGCCGGAAUCAAUCCCAACCAUCUCUCCAGCAAUCAGAACAACCUGCUGGGGGCUGAGUAACAGCUGAAUUCUUGGUGAGAGAAAUUACAGGCGUAAAACCAAAAUCAAAUAGACUCCUUGUGCUCAUUCAACAUUUCAAGGCAUGUUUAUAGGUACUGCUGCAUGGCAUCUUAAAUAUCUCAGUUUAAAAAGAAACUGCAUUACUCCUGUUGGGGAAAAUAAUUUUUCUGUUCUGUCACUUUCACUGUCUUUGCCCCUGAUGAAAAAGGAAUAGAAAUACACUGAAUUAAAUACCCAUUCAGACCUUGCCGUCUCCUCUUUGGACUGUCUGGAUACCCCAGAGAUAGAUCUGUGAAGAUGAGAAGAUCUGAAGGUCAUCUGAAGGCCAUCAAAACUGGUGUAGGAACAUGACAGCUGGACAAGAAGCUGUUAAUUGAAAGCUGGGGUUUUCUUGCUCUGUGAAGGUAGGAAGGGCUUGGUAGGUGAAGAGGUGACCUUGCAGUCCAGCUCCUAGUUGAGUCACUUCCUUAGACUCCUGCAUUGCAUCCCUCUACCUGCUCCCAAAUCUGUCAGUCGAAAGAAAAGCCCAAGAGAAAUUGUACCACUGAUGAAGAUCCCUGCAUAAGGGAGAGAAUUCCACCCUAUUCCACUUUUACUUUCAAGAUAGAGAGACCCUAAUUCUCAUACUAGGUAAGCAGGAGGGAAAACCACACAAACCACAGCUUUGAGCUCCCUGCUGAGUGCAUCAAAGUAGAAACAAGUUAACAGGACAGACUGAUAGACAGCUUUUCCCUCUAGCCCACCGAAAUUCUUUGAAAAGGUAUGAACAAAAAAUAGUGUAAAAAUUGGGGAGGGUGUUUUUUUACACUUUAAGAGGGAGAAUAUUCUUCCAAAAUGUUCACAGGAUUAUUGAACAAUGGAUCAGCAUUCGUUAUAGACAUCUGAUGCAGAAGGUACAUGGCUGACAAAGCUUGUGCUCUUUAAUGGUCUGGGAUUAAAAAAACAUUUAGCAGAUAAUAGUAUUUGCCUUGGGAACAGUAGUCAGGGAGCCUCGAGUGGGGAGGACUUUAGAUACCAAACUCAAUCAGCAAAUUUGCCAUUGGUCAAGGACUUGAGGGAGCUAAAACUCCUCUAUCACAUGCCUGAGACUCAAGUGCUCUGUAAUCUCUGUGGCAUAGACAUCUAGGCACCAUUGUGGACAGCACAUGGCUGCUGAAUGGUGAAAGCAGAUGACUGGGCAGAGCAAAACCAGAAGGCCUCAAAUCACGAUCACAAAAGUCAGCUCUUGAGAUUAAAUCAACCCAGCCACCUGAACAGAAGGGUGUCACACAGCAUUGCAGAAAAACAACUUACUACCAGACACAGGAGGGCUCUUGUAAAAAGCUCCAUGCUCCCACUUCCCCCAUGCCUCUUCCCACCUCCACACACACAUACACACUCUUCCAUAUACAGCAAAAAAAUAUCAAGGUUACGUGUUUCCUGAAAUAAGGUUGACUGAAUAGAUACACUUACAGAGAAUUCUUUGUAAAGCUAUAGCAAAAUGAGUAAGAGUGCAUCACUACCAUGGGAAAUAAAAAGAAAAGUAACCCAACUGCAAUUCAGCCAGAAUCAUUCCAAACCCCAAAGGUUGGCCUCUUUUUUUUUUUUUUUUCUUUAAUGUGUCUGACAUUUUAUGGCAUCAAUAAUGCAAACAAAGAGGAAAUCAUAUUUGCAGAACACUAAUGCACGGAUGUCUAAAGCGAAAUACAAUACUGAUUACUUUUUAAAUGAAGCCACCAGGUUUUGAUGUGCUGUGGCGGUUAAAUUGGUCCAUCAAAUUCCGUCCCCAGUCCAAAGCAACAGCUUGACCUUCUCUAUAACCUUGGAUAGCCUUCUCAGCUGCAUUCUGAUUGGGAAUGGUAAAUGUUAGUUUGAAGUGAUCUUCCUUAUGGGCCUGAUUUCAGAAGUACCAGGAGCACAUAGCUCCAUCUGAAUCUGAGGGGACCUUCAGGCAUGUCACCACUUCAUAGUCUAUUCAAUGACUUUGACAAACAUAACAAUAAACCUGCUACUAAGACCUGUUGGUGAAGGGAUGGAUAGGCUCUGAAAGAGAUUUCCAGACGUACUAGUGAGAUUUUGCCCUUAUGGUUAGUGACUAAUCUAUUCUGCAUCUGAUAGCUGGUCUCUUGCUUAGACCUUUCUGCAGAUGACUGCAGAGGAAUGCCCGAGUUUGAAAAUAAGUGUAUGAAUAAGAAGGUGUGGAAAAAACAAACAAACAAAUACUUUCCCUUCCUCUUCCAGUUUUUUAGAUGUUAGUGGUUUGAUUUUUUUCAUGAAAAAGUGGAUUUCAGAGAUGCAUCUUGAAUACCACAGACAGGAUUUUCUCUACACAUGAGGGUGAAGAAGCUGUUGGGCUCAUGCCUCUUGCUGCUCAGCCUGCUCUUCCAGCAAAAGACAAAAGGGCUUGGUUCUGGCCUCUGCUUCCAACUUAACAGUGGGAGCACUGAGUUCAGGAAUCAGGAGAUUUAUUUUGUAAUGUCCUCUGACUUGCACUGAGUGAGCAGUUUGAACUUCUUUAAUUUAUGCAGUUCUGGUUUGGUAGACAGAGUUAAUAGUGCGCCUGUGGGCUAGUGGGUAGGGUUGGAUGCCAUCGACUCUCAUCAGCUGGGAGUUUGUCUGCCAUUCAGUCCUGGAUGAGGUCUGAUCAGUGCUCUGUGGGGAUUGCAUGCUUUGGAGUUAAUCAGUGAGAGCAGCUAAUUGGCACUGGUUAACUAGUGCCGUUUAAUUAGGUCUGGGUUGUUGGAUGGAUGUGUGAAGGGAGCUGUUUAUCACUAGCAAAAAAAGUCAGCCUUGUGAUGUAAACCUCUUUAGGGAAUUAAAAAAAAAAAAUCAAGCUGGAGCUACUGUCACUAUAGCAGGGUAGAAAAUCAGUUUCAGCAGAACUGGCCUGGAUGAGGUUAGAGUCAUGCUCUGUUGGGGUCAGAAAUGAUAGCGGCUGCUCCCCAACCCUUUCUCCUGUGCAGAAGGGUGGGACACUAUGGGCUUCAGCUGGGAUUUACAGGAGAUACCCCACAUGCAUUACAAUGAGCUUUGCUGUAAAAUUCACUGCACAGAGGUUAAUCUAGAUGUCAACAUUGCCUGACAGCAGUGAAAUUACUCCGGGGCAGUGCUCCUUCUGAAGUCUUAAUAUAACAGUCAAUUCCAUCCUGCCUGCAGGAAAUGAAAGUUUUCUGCUUUGUGUGCGGAAUCAUUCGGCGCCAAUUUUCUCACUGUUUGAAGUCCAAACUGUUUGUGGUCUCGGGAUUCACCUCACAUUAAGACUUUUGCUUCAUUUAAAAACUCUGCUAGUCAAGUCCUGAGAACUGCAAGGACAGGAGCUGCAUAGGGAGAAAAAGAAGAGGGCAGGGGGAGAAAUCUUCUCUCUCCUACCACAUCGAAAUCAAACAGCUUCACCAGCCCUCUGUGCUCUGAACGCAGUGAAUGCAGCAACUCAGUUAUCUAAAUAUCAAGCAACAAAGAUUGGGGAGGUUGGAAACCAGCAGAGAAAGAAAGCACACGAAAAAAUAUCCGGACCUCCCAGAGCUAUGAUUUUCUUUAGAGGUAUUUCAGUCCUUCCCUGCUGGUACCUUGUCCUAAGAAGCCAGUAGUUCAGCAGUUAAACACCCCGACAGAACAACUGCUCAAGUUUUUAGCUGUAGGAUCAGUCACUUGUGCCGGGCGGGAGAUCAGUUCCCACAGAGGAGUCCUGAUGGUGUGGGGAAGUGAUGGUUAGAUUUGUUGUGCCUCUUUUCUCCUUGGAGAGAUGCUACUAUUGCGGGGUUAGCAGGAAAGAGGAGAAAUACUGGCCACUCCUUCAGUCUAAAGAGACCAAUCAGAUUGGGUUUGUGAGAAAUUAAAGACAUCGAGAUGAAAACAACCUAUCAGCUCACUUAGUUCAGCCCCAG